rnacentral:rRNA from 1 species
UUCAGAGGAACUUGUCCUAUAAUUGAUGGUCCACAAUUUUAAUUACUUAUUUUAUUAAUUUGUAUAUCGCCGUAGUUUGAAUAUUUUUUUAGAAUAAUAAUAUUCAAGAUUUUUUAUUAAAAAAAUAAAUCAGGUCAAGGUGUAGUUUAUAAAUAAGAAGAGAUGAGUUACAAUAAAUUUAUUUAAACGAAUAAUAAAUUUAAAUGUUUAUUUGAAGGUGGAUUUGAAAGUAAUUUUAAUAAAAUUAUUAAAAUGAUUUUAGCUCUAAAAUAUGCACAUAUCGCCCGUCAUUUUCACUAUAAAGUGAAACAAGUCGUAACAUAGUAGGUGUACUGGAAAGUGUACCUAGACCGACAAAUUAGAGCUUGAUACAAAGCAUUUUAUUUACAUUAAAAAGUUUAUUGUGAAAAUCAAUAUAAUUUGAAUUUAUUUUAUUAUUAAAAUUAAAAUUUUAUUUAAAUUUAAUUAAAAAAAUUUUUUGUUUAAUUAUUAGAAUGAAAAAAUUUAUUUUAUUAUAGAAUAUUAGUAUUGUGAAAGAAAUAAAUAUUAUUAUUAAAAGAAUAAUUUAUUUUUAGUACCUUGUGUAUCAGGGCUUAUUAAAUAAAUAUUAAAAAUUUAAUUUUCUCGAAUUUAAAAGAGCUAUAAAAAUAUAUUUUUUAUUGUAUAAUAAAUAUUAAGAAUAUUUUUAUUGUAAUGAAAUGUUAUUCGUUUUUAAAUAUAUCUAGUUUUUUAAGAAAUAAAUUAAAUUUAUUUAAUAAGAAUAUUUAGUUUAAUUUUUAAUUUAAUAUUAUUAUUAUUUUAUAAUUUAAGGGAUGAGCUUUAAAUUAAAUUUUUAAAAGUAAAUCUUAUAUAUUUAAAUAAAUAGGAUUAUAAAUUUUCAUUUUUAUUAGUAUGUUAUAAUUGUUUUAAAUUUAAAUAUAAUUUUUAUUUACUUUAAGUUUUUUAUUAAAAUAUUGAUUAAAAUUUUGAUAGUGAAGAAAUAAUGGUAAAAUUAGUAUAAAAUUUUGUUUAGAAUUAAUAAUAUUUAAGGUUAAAUAAAGGAAUUCGGCAAAAUUAUUUCUCACCUGUUUAAUAAAAACAUGGCUUUUUGAAGAUAAUCUUAGGUCUAACCUGCCCAAUGAUAGUUAAAUGGCCGCGGUAUUUUGACCGUGCAAAGGUAGCAUAAUCAUUUGUUUUUUAAUUGAAAGCUGGAAUGAAGGGUUGAAUGAAGAAAUAGCUGUCUCUAUUUAAAUUUUUUAGAAUUUUAUUUUUAAGUUAAAAAGCUUAAAUAAAUUUUGAAGACGAGAAGACCCUAUAGAGUUUAAUAAUUAAUUUAUUUAAGAGAAUUAGAAUUUAUUUUAUUUGAUUAUAAUUAAUUAUUUAAUUGGGGUGAUUUAAAAAUUAGAUAAACUUUUUUUAUAUAAUUACAUUAAUUAAUGAAUAAUUGAUCCUUACUUUAAGAUUAUAAGAUUAAAUUACCUUAGGGAUAACAUCGUAAUUUUUUUUUAGAGUUCAAAUCGAAAAAAAAGAUUGCGACCUCGAUGUUGGAUUAAAAUUAAUUUUUGGUGUAGUAGCUAGAUUCAAACCGGUGUGAGCCUAGGUUGGUUUCUAUCUCAAAAUAGUUAAUAUAUUUUAGUACGAAAGGACCCAAAUAUAGGAUUAAAUAAUUUUUUUAUGAAUAAUAUUAAUAUAGUUAUUUUGGCAGAUUAGUGCCAAUAGAUUUAGAAUCUUUAUAUGUAAAAUUUUACMGAUAACACUUGAUUUUUAAAGAUUUAUUUUUAAUAUUAAUUUCUAGAGUAGUUUUAGCUUUAUGUGUAAUAAUUGGUGUAGCUUUUUUAACUUUAUUAGAACGAAAAGUAUUAGGAUAUAUUC